AGUGAACGCUGGCGGUAGGCCUAACACAUGCAAGUCGAACGGCAGCACAGAGGAGCUUGCUCCUUGGGUGGCGAGUGGCGGACGGGUGAGGAAUACAUCGGAAUCUACUCUGUCGUGAGGGAUAACGUAGGGAAACUUACGCUAAUACCGCAUACGACCUACGGGUGAAAGCAGGGGACCUUCGGGCCUUGCGCGAUUGAAUGCGCCGAUGUCGGAUUAGCUAGUUGGCGGGGUAAAGGCCCACCAAGGCGACGAUCCGUAGCUGGUCUGAGAGGAUGAUCAGCCACACUGGAACUGAGACACGGUCCAGACUCCUACGGGAGGCAGCAGUGGGGAAUAUUGGACAAUGGGCGCAAGCCUGAUCCAGCCAUACCGCGUGGGUGAAGAAGGCCUUCGGGUUGUAAAGCCCUUUUGUUGGGAAAGAAAUCCAGCUGGCUAAUACCCGGUUGGGAUGACGGUACCCAAAGAAUAAGCACCGGCUAACUUCGUGCCAGCAGCCGCCGUAACAC
rnacentral:rRNA from 1 species